rnacentral:lncRNA from 1 species
GUCUGCAGGCUGAAUUUAUUCCGUGUUUUUCAGCAGCACGAAUUCAAGAGGGAUGCUUCUGUUUGGGUUUCUGAUCGUGAUUUAUAUUUAUUCAGAGGAAUAACAGAGGGUGGAUCUGUUCCCGGCGCGAGCAUGCUCACAACCAGCCGACUCUCCCAUUAUCCAACUGCCUAGUUUGGUGCUUCAAUGUACAUGGCUAUUCCGUGUGCAUAUGUGUGUAUACAAACACGCAUGCAUGCCUGGAUGGACAUACGUAUGCACAGGUUAUUUUUUAAGGACAAUUCUUUCAAUAAGGUCUUUACCCCUUACUUGAAACAGGUGUUCAUGAAAAAAAUGCACAAAAUCCUGCCUGGCCGGAAUAAUUCAUGAAGAAGGGGCUGGAUCCGUGGGUCAGAGAACACAGGACCAGUUUGCCAUCCCAAGGCCGAAGUCUGGUGUCUCGGAUUUGUUCCUGUGUUGCCCACUCCUGCUGGAUCUUGUCCAGUCGAGGGACAAACGUCCUGAAGAAUGGGAAGAAAGGAGGUUCUGAAGGCACAGAUUCCAAUACAAUGCCAGAGGUUGAGGACACUGGUGCUUGAAGGGAAACUGGCACACUCUGGAGCCCCAAGAAGA